AAUUCCAAGUUAAGGAAGAAAGGGAAGAGAAAGGGGACGGGAGCGUGCUGGAUGACGUGAUGACGUCAUCGGUCGGCGUUGCAUGAGUUUGUGUACUGAACAUCUGGAAAGAAGACAAAUAAAUGUGAAUAUAGCACUUCUGGUUGCUGACAUAUGAAUACGAGUUCUUCCAUUCCUGAUUCCUUUUUUAGAAGAUCCACAUGAUACUGCACCUUGGAGGAUGUUACUCGCCCAUGCUCAUCUAAUUCCUCAAUUAUUGUUUUAAUCACUGUAGUUCUCUUUGUUUCUGAAACAAACAAAAGAAGAGUACAGAUGGUAUCAUUCAACACCUCCAUCCACAAUUAUCAUCAUUUACCUCCCUGUUAACUAAGGACUUUUCUUCACAGCCAUUUAGUGGCUGAAGGGCGAGGUGUGGCAAGUGUAAAUGAAUGGGAGUGAAAAUGCUGAACAUCACCUGUUUAUCAAACCAGUCCUUGGCCUCUUGGCGGUUCUUUUCAGCAAUGACUUCAUACUGCUGGCGCAUGUUAUCCAUCAUCUGGCCCAGAUCAAUGC